GACUAACGCUGGCGGUACGCUUAACACAUGCAAGUCGAACGGGUAGUAAUACCAGUGGCAAACGGGUGAGUAAUGCAUAGGAAUCUGCCCUUUAGUGGGGGAUAGCUCGGAGAAAUUCGAAUUAAUCCCGCAUAAUGUCGAGAGAUGAAAGCAGCAAUGCGCUAAGGGAUGAGCCUGUGUCCGAUUAGCUAGUUGGUGGGGUAAAGGCCUACCAAGGCAACGAUCGGUAGCUGGUCUGAGAGGAUGAUCAGCAACCGUGGAACUGAGACACGGUCCACACUCCUCCGGGAGGCAGCAGUGAGGAAUUUUCCGCAAUGGGCGAAAGCCUGACGGAGCGAUACCGCGUGUAGGAAGAAGGCCUUCGGGUUGUAAACUACUGUCGAUGGGGAAGAAAAAAAUGACGGUACCCAUAAAGGAAGCACCGGCUAACUCUGUGCCAGCAGCCGCCGUAA
rnacentral:rRNA from 1 species